rnacentral:tRNA from 1 species
AAGGAAUAGUUUAUUUAAAAUAUUAAUUUUGGAGAUUAAUGAUAAGUGUAUCCUUUUCUUUGA